GACAGAGGGUGCAAACGUUGCUCGGAAUCACUGGGCGUAAAGCGCACGUAGGCGGAUUGUUAAGUCAGGGGUGAAAUCCUGGAGCUCAACUCCGGAACUGCCUUUGAUACUGGCGAUCUUGAGUCCGGGAGAGGUGAGUGGAACUGCGAGUGUAGAGGUGAAAUUCGUAGAUAUUCGCAAGAACACCAGUGGCGAAGGCGGCUCACUGGCCCGGUACUGACGCUCAUGUGCGAAAGCGUGGGGAGCAAACAGGG
rnacentral:rRNA from 1 species